CNAGUCGAACGGUAGCACAGAGGAGCUUGCUCCUUGGGUGACGAGUGGCGGACGGGUGAGUAAUGUCUGGGAAACUGCCCGAUGGAGGGGGAUAACUACUGGAAACGGUAGCUAAUACCGCAUAACGUCGCAAGACCAAAGAGGGGGACCUUCGGGCCUCUUGCCAUCGGAUGUGCCCAGAUGGGAUUAGCUAGUAGGUGGGGUAACGGCUCACCUAGGCGACGAUCCCUAGCUGGUCUGAGAGGAUGACCAGCCACACUGGAACUGAGACACGGUCCAGACUCCUACGGGAGGCAGCAGUGGGGAAUAUUGCACAAUGGGCGCAAGCCUGAUGCAGCCAUGCCGCGUGUAUGAAGAAGGCCUUCGGGUUGUAAAGUACUUUCAGCGGGGAGGAAGGCGAUAAGGUUAAUAACCUUGUCGAUUGACGUUACCCGCAGAAGAAGCACCGGCUAACUCCGUGCCAGCAGCCGCGGUAAUACGGAGGGUGCAAGCGUUAAUCGGAAUUACUGGGCGUAAAGCGCACGCAGGCGGUCUGUCAAGUCGGAUGUGAAAUCCCCGGGCUCAACCUGGGAACUGCAUUCGAAACUGGCAGGCUAGAGUCUUGUAGAGGGGGGUAGAAUUCCAGGUGUAGCGGUGAAAUGCGUAGAGAUCUGGAGGAAUACCGGUGGCGAANGCGGCCCCCUGGACAAAGACUGACGCUCNGGNGCGAAAGCGUGGGGAGCAAUCNNNANUAGAUACCCUGGUAGUCCACGCCGUAAACGAUGUCGACUUGGAGGUUGUGCCCUUNAGG
rnacentral:rRNA from 2 species